AACGUAGGAGGCGAACGUUAUCCGGAAUUACUGGGCGUAAAGCGCGCGCAGGCGGCUUUGUAAGUCCGACGUGAAAGCUCCCGGCUUAACUGGGAGAGGCCGUUGGAUACUGCGGAGCUUGAGGUUAGGAGAGGAAAGCGGAAUUCCCGGUGUAGUGGUGGAAUGCGUAGAUAUCGGGAGGAACUCCAGAGGCGAAGGCGGCUUUCUGGCCUACACCUGACGCUGAGGCGCGAAAGCGUGGGGAGCGAACAGG
rnacentral:rRNA from 1 species